rnacentral:rRNA from 1 species
UACGUAGGGCGCAAGCGUUAUCCGGAAUUAUUGGGCGUAAAGAGCUCGUAGGCGGUUUGUCGCGUCUGCCGUGAAAGUCCGGGGCUCAACUCCGGAUCUGCGGUGGGUACGGGCAGACUAGAGUUCGGCAGGGGAGACUGGAAUUCCUGGUGUAGCGGUGAAAUGCGCAGAUAUCAGGAGGAACACCGAUGGCGAAGGCAGGUCUCUGGGCCACUACUGACGCUGAGAAGCGAAAGCAUGGGGAGCGAACAGG